CGCUAGUUUCGCCAUUAACCUUUUGCUUUGUUCACCGUCACUACCACGUGACAUCUGGUGGAGGUGCUUUGCGUUCACGUACCGGACGCCCCCACAAAGCCGUGACCCAAGCCUGAAUGCGGAAGACUACACCAACGUCACCAAGAACCAGCGAGGUAGCCGCAGGCUGCAAGGACUGCCCCCGGAGCACGGACUUUUGCCUGAGACGACCAGGAAGAUCGUCGCCUAGUCAACCCCAGUGGCAGCCCCAGCGUCCUCCAUCGUGCUGCAGCAGCCCAGGGAGCCUCCGACGUUCCGCGGUUCAACAUUUGAGGACCCGGAAACCUGGCUUGAGACGUAUGAGAGGGUCGCUGCAUUUAACAGCUGGAACAGCGACGACAAACUUCGACAUGUCUUUUUCGAAUUGGAAGACGCCGCUAGGAUGUAGUUCGAGAACUGAGAAGCUGCUUUAACAAUGUGAGACCUGUUCCGAAGCGGCUUCCUGCAGACAUUCACGAGUGUCGUAUGCCACAAAUAAGCCCAAGCACUACUAGAAGCCCGAGAGGAACUUUUCGCCGGAAUGGUACGGAGCCCACCGAAGACCGUCGAUUAGUUUCUUCACGAGGCCACCAGCAUCGAGAAGACACUGUAAAUGUGGAACCAGCAAUUCAACCGCCGCACAAACUCAACAAACUAUGCUGGAGAUCAGUCACUUGCCACCGACGAUCUGCGCGAGACUAUCCGAGCGGUCGUGCGGGAGGAGCUACGGAAGCUGUUGCCCUCAUCACAGCCUCAAGUGGCUUCAAUUGCCGAUGCCGUCCAUGAGGAGCUCCAACAACCACUCGAAGUAGCCCCUGAAUCACCGUAGCCUCAGCCGCAAGCGAUGACAUAUGCUGCUGUAGCCCGCCGUCACGUUCCCUCUCCGUGCCCACGGCAGGGCCCACUGACGACACAGUUCCGUCAUCCGCCACCACCCCUGCCGCCAGCAUGCCAACCCGUCACCCAACACAGCAUUCCAAGGAAGACUGACGUUUGGCGCGGCCCCGAUCACCGUCCGCUUUGCUAUCACUGCAGAGAAGCCGGGCACAUCUACCGUCGAUGCCCAUACCGAGAGAUGGGAAUCCGAGGGUUCGCUGUUAAUGCGCCGAGACCAAAGCUUGGCGAACGACCUCGCGAUAUCACCGACUACCUCGCCGCCACUCAGUGGAGCCCUCGAUGACGUCCCAUUCGCCAUUACCAGGCCGCUACCUGGCGCUGCAGCGCUGACGCAUCACCAGCCCGGGGCCGCUCUGUGAGCCCAUAUCCGGAAAACUAAAAGCAGCAACCGAUAGAGGUGCGGUUGCUGUUUGUCGAACUGACGAAGAUCCUCCACCGCCGCCAAAGACGCCUAAGACACCACCUAAUCACUAAUCACUAGUAAUCCAUAAUCACUACUACUAGCGAUUAUGGCAAGGCAUUUAUUUCCCAAAUUCUCAAGGUAUUUCUUUGGGUCAGUGAAACCAUGCACAAAUCUACUUCUACGUGUCAUCCGCAAACCAACGGCCUUACUGAGCGCUUCCACUGCACACUGUCUGACAUGAUUUUCAUAUACGUCCAUCCUGACCAUACUGACUGGGACCACAGUGACGUCUCCCUGUGUGCAUUUGCAUGAACUCCUGUUUGCAUUUCGGCAUAUCUUGUAAAUGGUGUAGUGCAUAAACAUUGCAUGAUAUACAAUUAUGACUUGUAUGGUGUAUAAACUUAAGCAUUACAUGGCAUUACUUGUUUCAUAGUAUAACAGUGAAGACAAUUGUAUGCAUCAUGUUUGUUUUAUUUUUACAUCAUUAUGUUAAACAUUUAGUAUUUGUACUAGAUUAAUUGUCAAAGUGGUAGCUCUAAAUUGUGAACUUGUGCAUGAUACCACUGAAAGACAGGUACUGGCUCUCAAUUGAUUGCAUAUAUUUUGCCGGUUUAUCGUGUCAAAGUAGCACACAUGGUUUUCUUCGCUUCUUGGUAUUGAUACUUUUUUUUAGAAAUAAAUUUGUCAAAUAUGUUGGCUUAUA
rnacentral:lncRNA from 1 species